rnacentral:rRNA from 1 species
UACGGAGGGGGCUAGCGUUGUCCGGAAUUACUGGGCGUAAAGCGUGCGCAGGCGGUAAUGUAAGACAGAUGUGAAAUCCCCGGGCUCAACCUGGGAACUGCAUUUGUGACUGCAUUGCUGGAGUGCGGCAGAGGGGGAUGGAAUUCCGCGUGUAGCAGUGAAAUGCGUAGAUAUGCGGAGGAACACCGAUGGCGAAGGCAAUCCCCUGGGCCUGCACUGACGCUCAUGCACGAAAGCGUGGGGAGCAAACAGG